CACAUGAUGGCGCUAGCCAAUAACAGAAACCUUAGUUCUUGGGCUGCCAUAUUCGCCGUUGCUCUUCUAGUCAUGGCUACGGUUUCUUUCUACGAAGGAGUGUCAGAUGAAGUGAUGAGCCAUACCACUGGAAAUACAUGUGUGGCUGACUAUGAAUGUGAUCUGGCAUCGUGUGAAGCUAGGUGCCGGAACAUGAAGAUGGACCCAAGUGCAGCCCGCUGUGAGAUAAAGGCUGGAUUAGUUCCCUAUUGUUGUUGCGCCCACGACUACACGGGGCACAUCAGAUAUGAAAAUAAUGGAAAAUGAUCUUAGACCAUAAUUCAUGUAUCCUUCUGCAUGAUUGGUUAAUAAGAAUGAUAAGCCGAGAUUGCAUGGCCA